GGAAUAUUGGUCAAUGGACGCAAGUCUGAACCAGCCAUGCCGCGUGGAGGAUGAAGGUCCUCUGGAUUGUAAACUUCUUUUAUUUGGGACGAAACACCUCUAUUCUUAGGGGCCUGACGGUACCAGAUGAAUACGCCCCGGCUCACUCCGUGCCAGCAGCCGCGGUAAUACGGAGGGUGCAAGCGUUAUCCGGAUUCACUGGGUUUAAAGGGUGCGUAGGUGGGUAUGUAAGUCAGUGGUGAAAUCCCCGAGCUUAACUUGGGAACUGCCGUUGAUACUAUAUAUCUUGAAUGUCGUAGAGGUAAGCGGAAUAUGUCAUGUAGCGGUGAAAUGCUUAGAGAUGACAUAGAACACCAAUUGCGAAGGCAGCUUACUAUGCGAAUAUUGACACUGAGGCACGAAAGCGUGGGUAGCAAA
rnacentral:rRNA from 1 species